CAGAUUGAACGCUGGCGGCAGGCCUAACACAUGCAAGUCGAGCGGAUGACGGGAGCUUGCUCCUGGAUUCAGCGGCGGACGGGUGAGUAAUGCCUAGGAAUCUGCCUGGUAGUGGGGGACAACGUUUCGAAAGGAACGCUAAUACCGCAUACGUCCUACGGGAGAAAGCAGGGGACCUUCGGGCCUUGCGCUAUCAGAUGAGCCUAGGUCGGAUUAGCUUGUUGGUGAGGUAAUGGCUCACCAAGGCGACGAUCCGUAACUGGUCUGAGAGGAUGAUCAGUCACACUGGAACUGAGACACGGUCCAGACUCCUACGGGAGGCAGCAGUGGGGAAUAUUGGACAAUGGGCGAAAGCCUGAUCCAGCCAUGCCGCGUGUGUGAAGAAGGUCUUCGGAUUGUAAAGCACUUUAAGUUGGGAGGAAGGGUUGUAGAUUAAUACUCUGCAAUUUUGACGUUACCGACAGAAUAAGCACCGGCUAACUCUGUGCCA
rnacentral:rRNA from 1 species